rnacentral:tRNA from 3 species
ACGCUCUUAGUUCAGUUUGGUAGAACAUGGGUCUCCAAAACCCAAUGUCGUAGGUUCAAAUCCUAUAGAGCGUG